GCUAAACAGCAUCCAGAGACCGUGGGAAUACGUAUGUCGGAAACGUUAUCCGGAAUAGUAUGGAAUAAAACGUUUAUAGGUGGUGUAUUAAGUCUGAGGAGAAAAUGCUGGGCGCAACUCCGUAUUGCGUUGGAAACUGGUAGACUAGAGUAUUGUAGAGGUAGGCGGAACUACAAGUGUAGAGGUGAAAUUCGUAGAUAUUGGGAGGAACACCAGUGGCGAAGGCGCCUUUCUGGACUGUGUCUGACGCUGAGAUGCGAAAGCCAGGGUAGCGAACGGGAUUAGAUACCCUAGUAGUC
rnacentral:rRNA from 1 species